rnacentral:lncRNA from 1 species
GUGAGGCAUCAUGCAGCAAUCCACUCAGCUGCGUGGCUGAGCACUGACAAACUCAAUUUACUGGAGGAGAGCAUGAGAUGACAUAGUGCAGUCGCUGCUGCUGUGAUAUGGACAAAUGGCCUCUUUUGUUCCAAGCAAGACGUCACCUGUCCUGAGGAAGUGCAUCUGUGCAUAGACACACAUGAAUUCACAUCUCAGCAAAUGGGAGUUGGUCCCUAGGGAUCCCUUCCCAGGAUGCUUGUCAAGAACAGAGAGGAUGAUACUUUCAUUCUGAGGACAUUGUCAGGAAUGACCAUCCAACUCACAGAAGCCAGUAUAAAGCCAGCUACAGCUGCCCUAAGCUAUUCAAGUAGAAAUAAAAUGGCCUUGAACACUCCACAUGCUGGUGAAAACCUUCCUGCUCAUUCCAGAAAAUGCUGA